GAGUAAAUAAUAGAAAUAAAUCAGGGAAGAUUUUGAUUUGAAAUUUUGGUCGUAUUCGUAUUCGUAUGAUGAUUAUGCUGAUAUUUCUUUCUCUCUCUCUUUUUCUUUAUUC
rnacentral:ribozyme from 14 species